AAGAAAACAGCAAAGUUCGUCUUAUUGAGGCAUCCAGUAAAGCUCCACAGAGAAAUCAUUCCCUCGUGUCUCUUCUGCACUCGGCCUUGGCAGGAUAAGAUGAAGAGGACGCAGUCCCUACCUCAGGCCUCCUCUCUUAGACCCUGGCCCAGCCUCCUCCACCAGGCUGUCCUCCAUCCUUCUCCUCAGGCCCCACCAGCUGCUGCUUGCUACAGCAUUCUCUUCAGGGAAGUCCUGAGGAUGCUGCCAGAAGAUACUGAACACCAAGGAGGGGACUCACUCACUGCCAACCACGACUUCCACAGAAAGCUUGGGAAUUGGGGAAUGGCAUGAUCAAAGCCUUGCUUUAUUAUGCAGAGCAAAUUUUUUUUUUUUGAGGGAGCAUUUGUGUGGAGAAUAGUGAGGAAGGGAACUAAGUGAUGAGAGCCUAAGUCAGAGCAAUGGCAGAAGAAAUUGAACAUAAUAGAACGGUUUAUGUUUGGUACCACACUUUGAAGGGUAAUGUAUGUUAUUUGUUCUUUAUCAUAGUCAACAACAAAUCUAGAUUUGCUUUAUGCACAGGAAGUAUUUAAUAUUAGUUAGGUUUAAUUUGAUUCAAUGCAUUUUAAGUUAACCAAUGAGCCCUAUUGAACUCAUAAGGAAACUAAAGCCGAGUAAGGUUAACUGACUUGCCCACAGUUAAAGGGUUGGAAAGUUUUGGAGCCAAGGGUGAAACCCAGGUCUCCUUAAUUCAAAAUCCAAGGCUUCAAUCAUGACACCAGUUGCCACAAAUCUGUGGCAUAUAUGGUGAUUCUAUUUCUUUGCCACCACAGACAUUGCUAAUCGAUUUCCUACGCAAGCUUGGAUAUGGCCUCAGAAUCCUUCCAAACACAGGGCUCCAGAGACCCACCUCAAAUCAACUUUUCUGUAUCCUGGCAGGAUAGCAUGCUCUCUCUCCAAGAUAAAGGAAGGAAAAUGGUAGAGGUGAUUUGCGGGCAGAAGCAUUAUCACUUGGCAGCUGUGGGCGUAGAUUGUGAGAAAGAGAAAAGGGUAGGCAUCAGGAAUGAUGAAGGAUGUAAGCCUGGGGGAUGAGGGGGAUGGUGACACUAAUUAACAGAAUAAUGGAACUGGAACAGAAGCAGAGCUGUAACAUGGUGAAUGUGGUCUUGAGGUGUUGUCCAGUUCUUAAGGCGGUGGGGGGUGCUGUGACAAUGACAGGUGAAGGCUGCUGCUUAUGGAAAGACACAGGCAGGGCCUCCUAACACUUCUAGCAAUUUCAGCCCCCGAAACAGUGACAACUGUGGAUCCUAAAGGCAUAUGUCCAAAAGAUGCUGGCCAAACAUUUCAGAAAAGAUGAAAUAAGGAGGUCUCAAAGUCCUGCUUUUCAAGACACUGCUAGGAAUCUUUUUGCAAAGCAAGAAAAUUCUUUUAUCAUUCAAACAAUUAAAUAAU
rnacentral:lncRNA from 10 species